CUUCCUCUUUAAUGGAGUUUUAGGGUUUCAAUAGCUUCAUCGAUCUCCUUUGAGAAAUAGAAAGUGACCCUUUCAGAUUCCAUGGAACAGUGAACCUUCCUCUACCUCUGCAUCUCCCCAUCUUCAUUAUGUACAUCAUUAAUGGUUUCGAAUGGUAACAACUACGUUAUUCCUAGCUAUAUAUACCUCAUGUUAAACUCUGGAACCCUUCAUGUCAAAUACACUCAUAGCCGUCACAGAUUAUAACAAGUUCAACGGAGCGUCUUGACAAGGGUAUAGCCCUCCUUUCUGGCGCAAUAAAACCGCAACUCUAAACCUUUGAAGCUCAUCUUCCAAUAUCCGACGAGUCUUCCCGGCAUCGAGCAAAGACAGAACAAAACCAACUCUAAACCCCACUACCGGCAUCGCACACAACUCCGUGUUGUCCGAGAUUGAAUGGAACUGCUUUUCCGUUGAUUUGAAGAUAUUCAGGUUUCAGCCCUCAAGAGUAUUUCGAAGGAAACUGUGAUGUGACCAAGGAGGCGAUCUGUACGAUGUAGCCGGCCAUCUCAGGCUAAUUGAUGGCCAACAACUCCAACAAUGCCAUAUACUUGAGAGCUUUGAGGGAACGAUGAAAGGGCGAUUCUCUGUUCAUCUACAGCUUAAAGAAGGACCUCCUAUAAAUUAUCAAGUGCAUUCUACCGUAAAUUAUCUACCCUGGUUUGUUCUUCAAUACCCAACAUUCAAUGAUGCACAUCUUUUAGCUAACUACUUAACAUGUUAAGGUUAGCCGAGAACCAAAGCAAUAUUGCGUUUGUCUGUUCAGCAGAGGUGACCAAGGUGGAGACUCUUACUGUCGGCGAGAUCUUGGCUUCCCUCAAGCAGGAAAUGUCUCAGGCAAGCGGCUGCUAAUGAAACUUCUGGAUAUGGUAGAUCUGAUAACCUCGCUCAGCAGACGAGCUUGGCUGGGCAUUCCCCACGGUCAGGGCUCGAUUCUGAUCAUAAUUCUGUGUACAUUGAGAAGAGAGAAUGUUCAGCUAAGGAAAGGGUGAAUCAAAGGGCUGUCAACAAGUCCAAUAUUCACGAUGAAUUCAAUUCCUCAAGUAGGGUUUCAAACGCAAAACCAAAUGCUUCAGUUCCUGGACUUAGAUCGUCAUCAGGGUUACCUCCGAAACUGUCUCCAAGACUCCACAACACUCCAUCCCCAAGUGACUGGGAUAUCUCUGGCUGUCCAAAUAAGCCUCCACAAUUUUCAACCUCGCUUACACAUCGGAAGCGCAUGACAUCAAAUCGGUCGUCAUCACCACCUGUCAUUCAUUCAAUGGGCCAGUUAAAGACCACAAAAUAUAUCCCGUACAGCAAGAAGGACGAAUUUAAUACCGAUUGUUUCUAAUAAGGAUGAAGCCUACUCAGAUAUGGUGGCUGUAGUGAAAAUGGGUUUGGAUUUCCUAAACGCUCGCCAGCUGCUUCUCCUCAACUGAGACUGUAAGGUGAAAACAGCUUCCCACAGCAGCUUUGUCAGAAAGUGAAGAAUAUGGCCCCCCUGAGAUCAAGUGUAAAGACAAAAUGAAACAAUCUGAUGAGGUUGAUGGGAAAGCUGCACAUAAUAUUCCAAAAGCGUGUUUCCCUGCUUUACAAUCAACAAAAGGUAGCUAGCCUGCUUCUGGUGAAGAGACUAGGGAUGGUGUGAGAAGGCAAGGAAAGAUGGGCCGUGUUUUUUCUUCCACAAGGUCUCUGAACCCAAUGGGAGUAGAUAAACUUAAGAAUGCUGGAACAGCGAAACAGCUUCGCAGUGCAAGAACUAUCUUGGGCAAGAGUGAAAGUAAAUUGGAUCGUUCACCCACCACGAAACUAUCUGGUCGCAAGACUUACGAACGUCAAAGAGCUACAGCAACAAAUGCUUCACCACUAGUUCAAUUACGUCAUCGACCCCGCGCUUGCGCGGGGGCUUAAUACUAAAAGAAAAGCCAAAACUAUAGAGAAUUAACAUAUUAUUCUAAACCGAAUGUCAAGGUCCCAGCUUCUGACCCGAAUAAACCAACCGUGCUUCGCUGGAAGUGAAGUUAGAGUUUGAGAUUCACCUAGUCUCUUGGAUAGGUCUUGCGGUUUUUAGAGUUGAUUGUGUGUGCUUCAAUGUCAAAUUCAGGAAAUUAAGGCCUUUUGAUACUUUGUGGCCUUUGCUUCAUUCUCCGCCUUACCGUUGUUUGAGAUUCACCUAGUCUC